rnacentral:tRNA from 1 species
GGAGAGGUGUAGGAGCGGUUUAACUAGCAGUCCUGGAAAGACUGUGUACGAGAAAUCGUACCGCGAGUUCGAAUCCCGCCCUCUCCG